UAGGUAGUUUCAGUGAGACCUUAGUGUAGCCAGGAGUAAGGGCAGGAAGCAAAGUCUUUUCACCAAGUGACGUGCUCAGAGGACAAUGUCUGAGGCUGCCCACAGCAGGGGCAGUGGCCUGCUGAAAAAGAACUGAAGAGCUUCCAAUAGAUGUUUCUUGCAGAGGACCUGCCAGUGAAAUUGUUUAUUAAGAGAUAAGAUGGUCAUCAACCUAUCAGUCACUAACUGACUUGGAACAGCUAUGACACCAAUGCUCAAGAAGCACUUUCUGUUUUACUUCAACAGGAGCAAACCCCAUUUAAUGGAGGAGCUACAAAGCAUGACACCAAGAAAAAAUUCUUCACCUACCAGACGAUCAGCAGAAAAUACGAAGUCUCCUCUACUGGAUUUCCUGAAAAAGAGACUCUGCUUUGUGGGUUCCCUGCUUGGUGAUGAAGAUUGACAGAUGCAGUGAGUCAAGGCAGAGAUUUGCUCUUUCUACUCUUU